rnacentral:lncRNA from 1 species
AUUCUGGAUAUUUCAUAUAAGUGGAAUCAUGUAAUAUGUGGUCUUUCACGAGUGGCUUCUCUCACUUAGCGGAAUGUUUUUGAGGUUCAUCCACGUUACAGCAUAUAUCAGCACUUUGUUCCUUUUCAUGGCUGAACAAUAUUGCAUUGUGUGGAUACACCACAUUUUGUUUCUCCGUUCACCUGUUGAUGGACAUUUGGGUUGUUUCCACCUUUUGGCUAUUGUGAAUGGUGCUGCUAUGAUCAUGCGUGUGCAUGUCUCUGAGUCUCUAUUUUCAAUCCUUUGGGGUAUAUACCUAGGAGUGGAAUUGCUGGGUCAUAGGGUAAUUCUUUUAGGAACUGCCAAGCUGUUUUGCACGGUGCUGCACAAUGUACACUUCCCACCAGCAAUGCGUGUGUCCCAAUUUUUGCAAUCUUCAUCACCACUUGUUAUUUUCCAUUUUUUCAAUUAUUCUAGUCCUCCUAGUGGGUACGAUGUGGUAUCUCGGUGUGCUUUUGACUUGCAUUUCUCUAGUGACGGAUGGUGGGGAGCAUCUUUUCACACGCUGUUGGCUGUUUAUAUAUCUUCUGUCUGUAAACUUUUAAUGAAAGGCAUUUUGUUGUCAUCUAACUGCUUUGGGAAACAUUCUCAGGAGGUGAGAAACUCAACACACCUCCACCUUGCAAUCUUUCCCCUCUGACCUCUAAGUAGACGGAGGGCAGAGGGAGGUGGAUGCUGGGGAGACAGAAGGACUAAGUGCCAAUCGGCCCCUCUCCUUCAGUCCUGCUUGUCUCCUACCGGGCAGGCUGUAGCUUUAUGCUUCAUUCUCUUUCAUCUCCUCAUGGGAAACUUCAGGGCUAUUUAGCUCUUCCUGUGUCUCGAGCUAACAAUUCUAGACAAACCAUGGAUCUGUGGAGCAGGAGAUGGUGUGUUCUCAGCCUUAGAUAGGUACCAGAUAGAAAAUCAAAAGUAAACAUCCACCUUCUUCUCAAGCCAUCAGAGCGUGGCAUGCCCCUGCUUACAAACCUUCCACAGCCGUGCCUUUCACUGACGUGAAAGCCAUGAGCAUUUCUGGAGGCCGGCGUGCUGUGGCCCCUGCCCAGCUCCUCAAUAGCUUCUACUGCUCAAGGCCCCACCCUCGAAGCCCCUGUACCACCGGCCCACUUUCUAUUUGAGCCCACCUGGCUGUUCUGCCUCCGCCCCGAGGGUGAGGCUGUGGAGACUCCCGUGGCCAGCGCCGCGUCCAGCCCCUCUCAGUGAGGACUGCUUUCCUUCCCUCCUGCGAGUCUGGCUCCUCCUCAUCCUUCAGGCCCGAGCUCUUCAGAGGGGUCUUGCCUCACCCAGCUUACCAAAAAUAGCACGUCUCUCCCUUCGGUUCCUGAUAAAGAAAAAACUGUUCUGAUGGUUGUUAAGAUGAAAAGCAAGAGCUCCUGAGGGCAGAGGUUUCCCUCUUCUCAGCCCACACUCUGCGUCUGGAGCAGUGCUGGCGGCCGCGGCAGCAAGCGUGUGCCCGCCGUGGGGCUUCACCGAAAUUCAAGGAAACUCACCAAGGAAACCUGGUGGGCCCCUACUGUGGUGUGGAGUGGGCACGGACAACAGUAUUGAAGCCAGUGUAGACGAGCAGCUGUGUUUCACGUACAACAUUGCCAUUGUUCUGUUUCUAUAGCUUGAUAGUCAAGGUGUCUUUAGUUUCCAACACUGUUAGGAGCUGGACUCCAGCAAGCGUGGGUUGUAUAUUUCACAGUUGUUCUUGGUGCCACAACCGUGCAGGUGCGCCUGCGAGCCCUGCACCGGUGCCGGCCAGCACCACGUCAGCUGUGGUCUAAGGCUGCUUGUGCUUUGUUGAGAACGAGGCCACGGUUCUCAGCAGUGUUUUUGAGAUGUUGGUCCCUUGAAACGCAUCGAAAAAACCCUACGGCUGCCUACAGAAUUACUUUUGAUGUUUAGCACGUGGCUGCCAAAAAUUUCCCAACCAUCAAAACGUUUUCAGCAGUGUAGAUGUUUACAAUGUGAACUCGAUUUAUUAAACUUGUUUAUUUAACUUUUUAAGCGAUUUCUUAAACUUUCGUUUUGGUCUUCACGAUGCCAAAGACCAGGUUCAUGGAAUAUUCACUUUUUAAGUGCUGGCUACAGUGUCCUUGAGAGAAUUUGAGUGCGCAUGUUGAUCUUUAUUUUAAAAGGGAGAGUGAAGCAUUGCAGCUGACUGUGGUAAUUGUUGAGCACGUCAAAUAAAACGCAAACGUCGGUAGAGAAAUAUGAGGGAGAGAUUUCUAACACCCCCGCUCACUCCACUGGACUGCCAGAAGUUCCAUCUUGCACACUGAGUCAAGGCAAACGUGUUAUGUGGAGCAGUCACUGGCCAGUCUGUACUCCUCUUUCGUUUUAAAGAUCCGGCGUCUUAUGCUUCAAGCACAGUGCUGGGUGCUAGACGUGGAAGGAAGGUGUGAGGCAGCACGACGUGCGGUCCUAGGGUCUGCAAAAGGUCCUUUAGGACAGAGGCAAUAUGUGAUUGCUGGGGGAGCCCACAGCAGGAGUCAAUCAGCUAUGCGGGAAGUGCCAGACCUGGAAGGGCACUUGAGAACCCAACCCCCUUACUGCACAAAGAGAAGGUCCUUUGCCAAGUUCACGAAUCUGGACGGAGAUCGUGUAUGACCAGGCUUCGCAGCCCCCGUUCGCUGGCCCUCCUCCUGCACUGCUGGGCAGCCACUCGAAGUCCUUUCUACGGGGCCUGAUAUUCACUGACCGACUCACAGUGAUCAAUUCCAUUUGUUUGUAAAACGUGUUCCCCAAAGACCAUCAACUUCUAGUGCUGCUGCUGGAAUAAAGAGAAAAUAGAACAGUCUAAAAAGGCAAUGCUUCUUAGAAAAUUUAACCAAAACUUCAAAAAUGUAGAACGCCAAGUUCAAUAGAUUUAGAAUUGUGAUAUGACUAAGGCUGCCAGAGAGUCUGUGUGUAAACAAGAAAAAGCACCCUGGGAACUGCUGUGAGGAGUCCAGGCGGUGCAGAAGGUGUUCAAGCAAAAAGGAGCUUUGAUUAAAGCUGAAAAAGUCAUUGGUGUGAGGUUCAGAGAUGUGCACAAAAUCAAGUCAGUCUCACAUGAAACGUGAAGGACUUGAUAGAAUCCCAGGAGUUUGUGCACAUAAUCCCGUGAAGCUUCAGGAGGCGAAAUCUUCAGCAUCGCUAGUCAACCAACCGUUCACCACAGGAGCAGGGCACGGGCCAUCCCUGCCAACGGGUUCCCCAGAGCACAAGGGGCUGCGGGUGGAGCCCGGGGAGGACGGAGGUUGAGUUUAGACCAAAACUUCUCACAUUCCAAGAAAAGCAAGUGAGAGUUCAGGGUGGCCAGGGCCAGGAUCUCCCCCAGUUUUGUGCAAUGAGACAGGCUCCAUGACUGAGGACCAACUUCUUAAGGAAGUCCAAAAUAUUAAGGGGGAAGAUUAAGACAUUUCUGACUGGUCUCUUAAGUCUAUUGUCAGAGUGCUAUUUGUGAAUUCCGGGACUGGUGAGUUGUAGUUAAUGACAAGAGUGGAUUUUCAGUGUUCAUGAGAGAUUUAUCCAUGUUUGUCUAAAGAAAACACGUGCACGCACACAAACGCGCAGGCGGGCAAAGGGGAAGUGAGGGUGGGGGAAGCAAGAGAGAGAAAGAUGAAAGAAAUUCACCAAAAGCUGCUUGUGAGUCUUCGCUUCUGGUCGUGAGGAAGUGUCAGGGAUUGGACUAACCUUUGUGUGCUGUGAA